AAGUCUGGCUGGGCAGAGCAGGGGAGAGGUAGAACAAGGGAGAGGGGGUUCAGAGGAAGACCCAGGCCCACCCACUCCUAAUCCUAGGGCACACAAGGAGGAAGGGAGAAAGGAGCA